rnacentral:rRNA from 1 species
UACAGAGGGGGCAAGCGUUAUUCGGAAUUAUUGGGCGUAAAGGGCGCGUAGGCGGCUUGGCAAGUGGAAGGUGAAAUCCCUCGGCUUAACCGAGGAACUGCCCUCCAAACUGCUUUGCUUGAGGCCGGGAGAGGUGAGUGGAAUUCCCAGUGUAGCGGUGAAAUGCGUAGAUAUUGGGAGGAACACCAGUGGCGAAGGCGGCUCACUGGACCGGUUCUGACGCUGAGGCGCGAGAGCGUGGGGAGCGAACAGG